rnacentral:rRNA from 1 species
UACGUAGGGGGCAAGCGUUGUCCGGAUUUAUUGGGCGUAAAGAGCGUGUAGGCGGCUGGGUAGGUCCGUUGUGAAAACUCGAGGCUCAACCUCGAGACGCCGAUGGAAACCCCCCGGCUAGAGUCCGGAAGAGGAGAGUGGAAUUCCUGGUGUAGCGGUGAAAUGCGCAGAUAUCAGGAGGAACACCGGUGGCGAAGGCGGGUCUCUGGGCCGAUACUGACGCUGAGGAGCGAAAGCGUGGGGAGCGAACAGG